GACAAUCGGAUGUAAACAAAACGUCGCUUCAGAAUGCCAUUUGUUUGCGAACAGUGUGGCAGAGAGGUCAAAACACGGUCGGGGAUCUCCUAACACAAAGCCACCCACGCACGGACAGGAAAAUAGGAGUUUAAAGUAUUUUUGGAAGCACCUUCAAGAGACGUACUGAUAUCUUGAUCAAUGAAAAGUUGUCAUAUACAAACAUGUAUAGUAAAUGUUCCAAAGUUUAAAUGACUGUUUGUUUUAUUACCAGAUGGUGCAAGUAUUGCAGGGAAAGAAAACAAUCAAAGUAAACAUUACAUAAAAAUUUGACAUUUCAACAAAUUGAACAACAUUAUAUGAUUUAAUGUUAAUUACUUGGUGCAGUGGUAACAAGAUCUUGCAGCGCCCUUUCAUGACCGGGGCGAAUGAGUAUUUUCAUUAA